rnacentral:sRNA from 1 species
GCCAGGCAUAGUGGUGCAUGCCUUUAAUCCAAGUGACUGGGGAGGCUGAAGCAGGAGGAUCAUAAAUUUGAGCAACUUAGUGAGACCCUGUCUCCA